rnacentral:rRNA from 1 species
UGCAGUCGAGCGGAUGACGGGAGCUUGCUCCUUGAUUCAGCGGCGGACGGGUGAGUAAUGCCUAGGAAUCUGCCUGGUAGUGGGGGACAACGUUUCGAAAGGAACGCUAAUACCGCAUACGUCCUACGGGAGAAAGCAGGGGACCUUCAGGCCUUGCGCUAUCAGAUGAGCCUAGGUCGGAUUAGCUAGUAGGUGAGGUAAUGGCUCACCUAGGCGACGAUCCGUAACUGGUCUGAGAGGAUGAUCAGUCACACUGGAACUGAAACACGGUCCAGACUCCUACGGGAGGCAGCAGUGGGGAAUAUUGGACAAUGGGCGAAAGCCUGAUCCAGCCAUGCCGCGUGUGUGAAGAAGGUCUUCGGAUUGUAAAGCACUUUAAGUUGGGAGGAAGGGCAGUAAGCUAAUACCUUGCUGUUUUGACGUUACCGACAGAAUAAGCACCGGCUAACUCUGUGCCAGCAGCCGCGGUAAUACAGAGGGUGCAAGCGUUAAUCGGAAUUACUGGGCGUAAAGCGCGCGUAGGUGGUUCGUUAAGUUGGAUGUGAAAGCCCCGGGCUCAACCUGGGAACUGCAUCCAAAACUGGCGAGCUAGAGUAUGGUAGAGG